rnacentral:misc_RNA from 1 species
GAUGAAGAACGUAGCGAAAUGCGAUAAGUAAUGCGAAUUGCAGAAUUUCCGUGAGACAUCGAAUCUUUGAACGCACAUUGCGCCCACUGGUAUUCCGGUGGGCAUGCCUGUUCGAGCGUCAUUAUCCUCCCUCAAACCCCGGGUUUGGUGUUGGACCCAAGUUGUGUGAACAACUGGUCUCAAAGACAAUGACGGCGUCCGUGGGACCCUCGGUGCAACGAGCUUUUAGGAGCACGCAUCGAGUUGCAAGGACCUUCCGGGCCGGUCUCCUUUACCAUUUUACAAGGUUGACCUCGGAUCAGGUAGGAAUACCCGCUGAACUUAAGCAUAUCAAUAAGCGGAGGA